AUCUUAAAAUCCAGCCACGAGCAGCUCAGUCUGAUCUGGUGCCUUAAACACACUCAAGAUCAUCUUCUUCUGCAGCGAUUCCAGCGACACAAGGGACAGUCCUCCCUCAGAGAAAGAAGAAACCGCAGCAAAGACCGAGAAGAACGAUGCGAGCUUCAGCAAAGAGAGUAACAGCAGGAUUCCCAAAAAGGGCUUUGUGGAGGUGACGGAGCUGACGGACAUCAACUACAACAGUAACUUGGUUCGCCUCAGGCCGGGUCACAUGAACGUGGUCUUGAUCCUGUCCAACUCAACCAAAACUGCCCUCCUUCAGAAGUUUGCCCUGGAAGUCUACACGUUCACAGGGUAGGCUGGGGCCCUUGCCCACGUUUCUGCUACUGUUUUAACACCUUGCAUAGGGCUGCCCUGAGGCCAUGGCAGGAGUGGUGUCAGCUCACCCGUCAGGAGGGAUCUUGGUGCUGGCUGUGCUCUUUAGUGGCCUCAAGCUGAGGAAAACCAAGUGGCCUUUCCGGCCUGUACUCGGCAACGGUGACAGGACAGGUCUGGCACUGCCACCACCUUGGGCAUGCCCAUGUUUCAGUGAAUGGAGAGCAUGAGAGUGCCACACACCAGGCAGUUGUCAGCUGUGCGGAGCCAGGGUGGAAAAGGAGCUGCAGCACCACAGCCCUGCGCCUGCCCUUGGUGACAAAAGCUGUCCCUGUUACCUGUCCAGCAGGAACGUGGCCUGGCUCAGGAGGUGUGCUCAUCCCUCUUCUCUGAGUGACUGGGGUGGGUCAGAGCCCGGCCCUCCCUUCCCCUGCUGUGCUGCCUGUAGGUGUUGUUCAUACCCCUCUGUUGUCCCCUCACCGAGCUGCCCCUGCCCAAGGGGUGACAGCGCCGUGUCCCUGCCAGGGGCUGCGGCUGCCGGGGCAGCCGUGCCCGGGGGUGCUGUCCCCACGCUGUUGUGUUGUGCAUGCACCGUGCAGGACUCGGGCACUCACCCCGGGGGGGUCACAGUGACUCGGUGCCUGUUGCCAUUGCUGCCGGAGGGGUCCGUGUGUGCAGUGCCGGGGGGUGGGAGCCUCCCAUGGUGUGCAGCCCCCCGAGGGCUGUGUCUCUGUUCUGAAGCUGUGUGCAAAGGUGGCUGCUGGCUCUUGAGGCUGUUCUGUGUUUUCAUGUUGUGUUUGGCCCAGGAGGAUGAGUGUUGUAGCCACACGUGGUUGGGUGAGCUCCCAUGUUGGCUGUACCGAUGCGUCUGUCCCGCGGUGUCACCCUGGGUGGUUGUACGGGGGGUGUUUGUGUGUUUUGUGUGUUUUGGGUUUUUAUUUUAAUCCCAAAUAAAUAUUAUAUUUCUUAA